UACACCGCCUCUCCCGCGCGCACCUACGCCUCCGUCUCCUCUGCGCCGCUUUUGCGUCCUGCUUUGGCUCUUCCCAGACAUGCUCGCCCGUGGUGCGCGCCCGAGUCCUUCCCCUUCCGCCUCUCAGCUUGGUCCAAAGGCUGAGGGUGUCAGCAAGCCUGUUUUCAUGAUGUUGUGCUGUUAAGAGGAUCUGCCCUGGAAGAGCAUUUGCGAAGUGAAAGUGACCACUAGCUGAACUGUGAAAUUGACAAGUGAACCUUGAAGAAUGACUUGUAAGGUGUAGCUGACAUCGUUGUAAACACGCAUCAUGCCAUGCUCCAGGGAGAUGUCGAGGACCUCUACAGAUGUUGUAAUGUCACCAACCAUAGGUCGGGAUGGCUGGAAGGUAUUGUUGCAGGUCACAAUGAAGUAGGGGUUCCGGCUGCUCGCGGCACAGUGAUCACCGAUGCCGAAGGGGAUGAAGAUGAUGAGCACCCAGAAGAUCAAUGCUUCUUCCAUGGCUGGAGAGUAAAGGAUCAUAUAUGCAUUCAACUGCUUGGAGGAACAUAUACGCAAUGGAAUCCAGUACCAUAUUUCCACGAAUUUGGGAGUGUCUUCAUCACGUCGACGAUCAUGUGUUUGGGUUCAUCUGCUUAGUGGAAGCAGUCAAAGUGGAUCAUACAGAGGAGCAAAGAACUCAAAAGAAGCAUGCAGUCAAUAUAUUAGCUGAACUCAAAAGAAGCAUGCUGAUCAUGCUGGUCAUCAUUCCCGAAUCCAUGUACACUUGCUUCAGUGUCCAACACCAAACAGCCUUUUUGUUUGCUGCUACUUUGCUGUUCAGAAAUAAUGAGGCCUCAGAAGCCCGUGAUGCAACCUCCCACCUAAAUAUUGCUGCACAAACAGCUGAGCAAAUUCUACCUUGUGGAGUGUGUCUCCAUUGAGAACGGCAGGCGGCUGAUCAGGAGCUCAGGGGAGCCAGGGGCUGCUGGAGGCGUGCCCCAAUGCGGUCGCUUUAUGUAUCCUUUGAAGACCUUCUCCCUAGGGUAUGAUGCGGAAAGGGACCUAAAGCUUAAAAACUGCCGGGUCCGAUGCUUCAGCCUGCCUCAAGAAGUAACAAGUGGUUUCCUCAAUAGGGAUCCAGCGGCAUUUUGGUUGUGAAAUGCUAAAAUUAAUAGAUAAGUAACUAUGUUUUCAUUCGGGUGUGACUUUUGCUUCUAUGUUUUAGUUUGGUGUAAUCUCAAAAAUAUGUUUUCUUUUGGUGGAUCUGGUGUUGAUGUGUGUUGCGCGUUUGUAUGUCUUUCACUCACUCAGUUGUUAAUGUGUCGCUUUUUAAAUUCAAUGUGUAAUCUCUAGUUGUUUAAACUCAGGUAUGAAUGCAUGUGUUGCUUUUCUAUGUUUUAAUUUAGUAAUGUGUAUCUCAACUUCGACAUUCUGUGAAUCCCUUGCUAUGAUUUUUAUUCAUCGUACAGUUUGUGAAAACAAAGGCAACUACAGAAGAGCGAGGCUCCCUAACUCUAGCUAGUAGGGAUGUAAAUGGUACGGAUAUUUUCCGACCGUAUUCGAAUUCGAUCCGGUCUGGAGGGGUUUUUAUCCGUCCGUAUACGAUUCCGAGUAUCUAAUAUCCGUAACCGAUCCGUAUCCGAAUGUUCAAAAGUUACAUUUUUAUGAUGUCGAUAUCUAUUACAAUCUUAUUCGAUAAAAACUAACACUAUUCGUAUCCGACUCCAUAUUCGAAUACAAAUAUGAAAAUAAAUAUGAUAUUAGUAAUAUUCGUCCGUAUCCGAUCCGUUUACAUCCCUGCUAACUAGUGUUGGAAUU